UUAGGACGAACGCUGGCGGCGUGCUUCAUACAUGCAAGUCGAACGAGAAACUGACUUCGGUCAGUGGAAAGUGGCGGACGGGUGAGUAAAAUGUAGAGAAUCUGCCCCUAAGAGCGGGACAACAGAGGGAAACUUCUGCUAAUACCGCAUAUGAGCGUAGCUGAGAUGCUAUUCUUGAAAACUCCGGUGCUUAGGGAUGAGUCUGCAUCUGAUUAGCUAGUUGGCGGUGUAAUGGACCACCAAGGCGACGAUCAGUAGCUGGUUUGAGAGGAUGAUCAGCCACAAUGGGACUGAGACACGGCCCAUACUCCUACGGGAGGCAGCAGUAGGGAAUUUUGCGCAAUGGGCGAAAGCCUGACGCAAGCAACGCCGCGUGAUUGAUGAAGCCCUUCGGGGUGUAAAGAUCUGUCAGUGGGGACGAAAUUUGACGGUACCCACAGAGGAAGCACCGGCUAACUCCGUGCCAGCAGCCGC
rnacentral:rRNA from 1 species